GCCAGCAGCCAUAUCACCCGGCAGUUCACAGCUGGCAGCCAACUGGAGCGCAGCAGGUGUGAGCCUGGUCAGUACCUGGAUGGGAGACCUCCUGGGAAAAACUAAGGCUGCUGCUGGAA
rnacentral:rRNA from 1 species